rnacentral:rRNA from 1 species
GCGGCGGACGGGUGAGUAACACGUGGGCAACCUGCCCUGCAGACUGGGAUAACUUCGGGAAACCGGAGCUAAUACCGGAUAACACCGAAAACCGCAUGGUUUUCGGUUGAAAGGCGGCUUUUAUCUGUCUCUGCAGGAUGGGCCCGCGGCGCAUUAUCUAUUUGGUGAGGUAACGGCUCACCACGGCGACGAUGCGUAGCCCACCUGAGAGGGUGACCGGCCACACUGGGACUGAGACACGGCCCACACUCCUACGGGAGGCAGCAGUAGGGAAUCUUCCGCAAUGGACGAAAGUCUGACGGAGCAACGCCGCGUGAGCGAAGAAGGUCUUCGGAUCGUAAAGCUCUGUUGUCAGGGAAGAACAAGUGCCGUUCGAACAGGGCGGUACCUUGACGGUACCUGACGAGGAAGCCACGGCUAACUACUUGCCACCAGCCGCGGUAAUAC